rnacentral:tRNA from 1 species
UGUUCUGUGGCUUAGUUGCUUAAAGCACCGGUCUAGCGAAUACGGAGUCGUGGGUUCGAAUCCCACCAGAAUGC